rnacentral:rRNA from 1 species
AACCGGGGGAACUGAAACAUCUAAGUACCCCGAGGAAAAGAAAUCAACCGAGAUUCCCCCAGUAGCGGCGAGCGAACGGGGAGGAGCCCAGAGCCUGAAUCAGCAUGUGUGUUAGUGGAAGCGUCUGGAAAGGCGCGCGAUACAGGGUGACAGCCCCGUACACAAAAGCGCAUGUGUUGUGAGCUCGAUGAGUAGGGCGGGACACGUGGUAUCCUGUCUGAAUAUGGGGGGACCAUCCUCCAAGGCUAAAUACUCCUGACUGACCGAUAGUGAACCAGUACCGUGAGGGAAAGGCGAAAAGAACCCCGGCGAGGGGAGUGAAAAAGAACCUGAAACCGUGUACGUACAAGCAG